UGCAUCGGCCGGGAAUCGAACUCGGGCGGCUCGCGUGGCAGGCGAGCAUUCUACCACUGAACAACCGAUGG